AGAAUAAUUAAAUAUUAGAAAACGAAGGUGUAUAAAACCCGGAACCCGGAUAGGAGUUAUGUCGGGUUGAGAAGUUGCGCUUGAAUUGUUGAUCGACUGACGUCGACAGCAGCAUUAGGCAGUACUUAAGUACGUAAAUAAUGGCGAAAGGACUCCGAGCGGACUGCAUAAGAUGUUGUAUCUCGUGUUUCACCUGUGUGGGCAAACCAUGUGGGAAAGCAGGUCGUGCGACAGCCGUUUUUUGUGGAGUGCUACUUUCUCAACUGGCAGAGUGUUGCAUGGGCUGCUUCAAACUUAUCCUGAUGGUGUUGGUGGUGUUGCUAGUGACCGGCUUCUUCAUUUAUGUGUACUGGGAUCAGAUCGCCGGCCGAAGCGACCUCAAUUGGACAUGAUGCAAUUGUCAAUACGACUAUUCAGGUAGACCCGAACACCAACAAAACCAUCAGCUUCUACAAAGCAACGGAAGAUCAGAUGACGUCCGUAAUCGAUGCAGCCUAGAGUGUCCAUUUCUCAUGUUUUUAAUAAAACACAAGAAAAUUUA